GAGUUUGAUCUUGGCUCAGAUUGAACGCUGGCGGCAUGCCUUACACAUGCAAGUCGAACGGCAGCACGGGAGCUUGCUCCUGGUGGGCGAGUGGCGAACGGGUGAGUAAUGCAUCGGAACGUAUCCUGGAGUGGGGGAUAACGUAGCGAAAGUUACGCUAAUACCGCAUAUUCUGUGAGCAGGAAAGCGGGGGACCUUCGGGCCUCGCGCUCUUGGAGCGGCCGAUGUCGGAUUAGCUAGUUGGUGAGGUAAAGGCUCACCAAGGCGACGAUCCGUAGCAGGUCUGAGAGGAUGAUCUGCCACACUGGAACUGAGACACGGUCCAGACUCCUACGGAGGCAGCAGUGGGAAUUUGGACAAUGGGGGCAACCCGUGAUCCAGCCAUG
rnacentral:rRNA from 1 species